rnacentral:rRNA from 1 species
GAUGAACGCUGGCGGCGUGCCUAAUACAUGCAAGUCGAGCGAACAGAUAAGGAGCUUGCUCCUUUGAAGUUAGCGGCGGACGGGUGAGUAACACGUGGGUAACCUACCUAUAAGACUGGGAUAACUUCGGGAAACCGGAGCUAAUACCGGAUAACAUUUAGAACCGCAUGGUUCUAAAGUGAAAGAUGGUUUUGCUAUCACUUAUAGAUGGACCCGCGCCGUAUUAGCUAGUUGGUAAGGUAACGGCUUACCAAGGCGACGAUACGUAGCCGACCUGAGAGGGUGAUCGGCCACACUGGAACUGAGACACGGUCCAGACUCCGACGGGAGGCAGCAGUAGGGAAUCUUCCGCAAUGGGCGAAAGCCUGACGGAGCAACGCCGCGUGAGUGAUGAAGGGUUUCGGCUCGUAAAACUCUGUUAUUAGGGAAGAACAAAUGUGUAAGUAACUGUGCACAUCUUGACGGUACCUAAUCAGAAAGCCACGGCUAACUACGUG